AGUGAACGCUGGCGGUAGGCCUAACACAUGCAAGUCGAACGGCAGCACAGUAAGAGCUUGCCCUUACGGGUGGCGAGUGGCGGACGGGUGAGGAAUACAUCGGAAUCUACUUUUUCGUGGGGGAUAACGUAGGGAAACUUACGAUAAUACCGCAUACGACCUACGGGUGAAAGCAGGGGAUCUUCGGAACUUGCGCGAUUGAAUGAGCCGAUGUCGGAUUAGCUAGUUGGCGGGGUAAAGGCCCACCAAGGCGACGAUCCGUAGCUGGUCUGAGAGGAUGAUCAGCCACACUGGAACUGAGACACGGUCCAGACUCCUACGGGAGGCAGCAGUGGGGAAUAUUGGACAAUGGGCGCAAGCCUGAUCCAGCCAUACCGCGUGGGUGAAGAAGGCCUUCGGGUUGUAAAGCCCUUUUGUUGGGAAAGAAAAGCAGCAGGUUAAUACCCCGCUGUUCUGACGGUACCCAAAGAAUAAGCACCGGCUAACUUCGUG
rnacentral:rRNA from 1 species